rnacentral:rRNA from 1 species
CAAGUCCCUGACCACCUCCUCUCCUCGGAGGGGGGGCCGGGGCAACAGAACCCACGGCGCCGACGGCGUCAAGGAACACUAUGCCUAACCCGAGGGUGUGGCUGGCUUGCUAGCCACCCCUCGUGUUGCGAUGCUAUCUAAACCACACGACUCUCGGCAACGGAUAUCUCGGCUCUCGCAUCGAUGAAGAACGUAGCGAAAUGCGAUACCUGGUGUGAAUUGCAGAAUCCCGCGAACCAUCGAGUCUUUGAACGCAAGUUGCGCCCGAGGCCACCCGGCUGAGGGCACGCCUGCCUGGGCGUCACGCCAAUACACGCUCCCACCUCCCUCAAUGGGUAGUGGGAUGCGGAUUCUGGCCCUCCGUGCUGUGAGGCGCGGCAGGCCGAAGAUCGGGCUGCCGGCGUAUCGUGCCGGACACAGCGCGUGGUGGACUUCUACUUAGCGCAGUUCCAGCACGUAGCCGGCGUAGCGGCCCCAAGGACCCAACGAACGGAGCGCAUGUCGCUCUGACCGCGACCCCAGGUCAGGCGGGACUACCCGCUGAGUUUAAGCAUAUAAAUAAGCGGAGGAGAAGAAACUUACAAGGAUUCCCCUAGUAACGGCGAGCGAACCG